rnacentral:rRNA from 1 species
UACGGAGGAUCCAAGCGUUAUCCGGAAUUACUGGGCGUAAAGAGUUGCGUAGGUGGCAUAGUAAGCGAGUAGUGAAAGCGUGUGGCUCAACCAUACACACAUUACUUGAACUGCUAAGCUGGAGUUUGGAAGAGGUAGCUGGAAUUCCUAGUGUAGGAGUGAAAUCCGUAGAUAUUAGGAGGAACACCGAUGGCGUAGGCAGGCUACUGGUCCACAACUGACACUUAGGCACGAAAGCGUGGGGAGCGAACGGG